rnacentral:lncRNA from 1 species
AAGUCGCGAGGUGCAUCCGCUUCGGCUGCAGUAGGUGGUGGCGGCGGCAGCCCUGGGUGGGGUCCCAUAGGGGCAUCUGAGAAGUCACUGGAGCUAGCGUUUCCGGGAAACCUGGAGACUCGCUGAGUGGCGGGGGUCGUCGGCUGCCCCUCUGCCCAGCAAGGGCUUUUCUAGAUGUUAUCAUCAGGCAAUCGCUGCACCUGUCGCAGCCCCCAAGCCACCUCUUCCAGAAGUAACCAUAACCUUGCUUCCUUCUUAGGCUAUUUACUGAGGACCCACUGGAUGUCAAGCAUUGUGCAUAGUUUUCUUCGAUUGUUGCAACAUCCCUUGCGAGAGUUUCACUCCUGUUGCCCAGGCUGGAGUGCAAUGGCAUGAUCUCAGCUCACCGCAACCUCCGCCUCCUGAGUUCAAGCAGUUCUCCUGCCUCAGCCUCCUGAAUAGCUCGGAUUACAGUUUCUGGAGCAGCAGAGCUGAAGGAACCCAAACUUGGACUGAAGUGACUCUACUAAGGUCAGCUCUAUGGCUCUUCCACAUGAUUCAAACGAAACUU